UACGUAGGGGGCAAGCGCUAUCCGGAUUUACUGGGUGUAAAGGGAGCGUAGACGGCAAUGCAAGUCUGGAGUGAAAGGCGGGGGCCCAACCCCCGGACUGCUCUGGAAAUUGUAUAGCUGGAGUGCAGGAGAGGUAAGUGGAAUUCCUAGUGUAGCGGUGAAAUGCGUAGAUAUAUGGAGGAACACCGGUGGCGAAAGCGGCUCUCUGGCCUGUAACUGACACUGAGGCUCGAAAGCGUGGGGAGCAAACAGG
rnacentral:rRNA from 1 species